rnacentral:lncRNA from 1 species
CACUGUGGAAAUUGUAUCCUAAAGUCAAUCGUGUGACGAUUGAGUUCAUCCUUGUAUUUGAAUUAUUGAUUAUUGAAUAAUAAUUAUUCUGAUAUUUUUCAUCAUAAAAUGACAUCUUUCUUGAACUCUUGUACUGUGAUGAAGUCCCUAGAACUAUGCUAAUAUACGAUAAAGAGAGGAUUUAUCGUAUAGUUCUUAAAUAAGUUUGCGACCAAAUGAUACAUCAUUACGGGAUGAUGACAUUUAUCGAGUGAAGGUUGUUAUGUGCCAUAUGAGUUAGUUGUCCUCUUAACCAAGG